GUUUUCUGUCGGUGAGGUGGCAGUGUGAUAGCUAGCUGAACCCAUGGCCAACACUUGGCUAAUGGUUAGCGGAGAUAGCAAGCUUACAGGGGCUAAUGGGGUUCCAUAAUAAAUAAAAAUACAGACGCGAGGGGCAAACGACCUGACCCAGCAGCAACUACUCCUCGAUUUAAGCCAAAGAAACAGAGACAUUUGGAGAGCAGACAGGCAAAAAGGGAAAGCGAUAGAGCCCGGGCCAAUACGUGUAAACCUCGGAUUUGUGUUCACACAGUGGAAAAAACUAAGGGAGUUGAAGGGAUUCAAAACCGACACAAAUGUUUUUUCUGCUGAAAAGGACAAAGACAGUCUUCUACAACAUAAUUGCCGACCACGAAGGGACUGUAAAAAGAGACCAUAGGGGUGCUGUGCCAUCUGGAGGAGGCUAAGCGAAUCACACACAAAAAACAGUGGCCACUGUAAAAUAGCAGUGUCUCUCAGCUUCCCUAUUGGUACGCUGCCAGAAGGACCAUCUCCACAGACCGAUGUUUAAUAAAUUGAGAGAGAUUCUGCCUGAGCCCGAGACCCUAGGGAUGGUAGAAGGAGUUCUGAGCGAAAGGGACCAACGUCGGCCCGGAGUAGAGUCCCAGAAGUAGAAGGUCAUCAUCGAAAGAGAGCUCUACUGUGCCAGAUAAUACCAGGGCUGUUUCUUCUCUCUUCAUCUGACCUGACCUCGGGUAG